rnacentral:lncRNA from 1 species
GGGCUUGCAACUUCACCGUUGGCUUCAAGUCACGUACUCCUCUUGCUCCUUCUCCUUCACCUUUGCCUUCUUCCGAUCACUCAUCGUCUUCAGAUGCUAAGGCUCCUUCCUCAUCAUCUGCUUCUCCAAAACCUUUGGCCUUUGCUUCUUCUAUGGGAGUCGUUUUUCUUCUUUCACUAUUUUUCAUGUAGAUGAAUCAUGCUUAGACGUUAUUUAAUAAUUUGUGAUUCCUCCUUCUGUUCCCCAUUAGGUUUCUUGUUUUGUGGAGAGUCGACAAUUGAAUGUAAUGUUUUACUUGAAAAUAAAACGUAAGGAAGAUAUUAGUUGAACUCCGUUGGCUUCUAUGCGUGUCAAUCAUUUUCUGAUCGCAUGUACUAUUUAAUAUAUCAAAUUUAAACAGAGUACGUGUUAAUCCCUCCGUUUCAAUUUAUAUGAACCCGUUUGACUGAGCACGGAGUUUAAGAAAAAAUGAAGAUUUUUGGAAUUUGUGGUCCUAAACAAGUAAAAAAUGGGCCUAGAGUAUUUGUGUGGUUAUAAAAGUUUCUUGUUAAGGGUACAAUUGUAAGUUUAAGCUAAAUUAUUAUCAAAUUUAGAAAGGGAUCAUUCUUUUUGAAACGGACCAAAAAAAAAUAUGUUCACGUUAACUAAAACAGACGUACGACACUUGAUCUUUUAAUUUGUAAACCUCCAUUUCAAGUAGCCAAUCCUCUGCUGUUUUCUCCCAUUUGACUUGAUACGUUAUUUGGUAUGGACUACUGAGGGAAAGGAAGAGAAAACGAAACAAAAAUUUGAGAAGGUAAACAAAUUUGAUUUUCUUUAUAUCGUUUUCUUUCGAAGGAAAGGUGAGGAAGACCGUUAACAUCAGUACCUCUUUUUUAUCUUCUAUGUUCAUCAACUUAGCAUGCAAGCCCAAGAGAAAUAAUUUCAGCUUGUUUACUUUGUCUUCCUGUUACCCCAUCCAAACAAAUAUUAAUUAGGCAAGAAAUUUUUUACAACUUCCCUUCCCCUUCUCUAAUUUCCUCUUAUUUCCAAAGAACAUGUAGUUAUUCUGAAUCGUGCAUGUAUUCGUUUAAGUAAUAAGAUGCUGUUCGGAGGGAUAUGAAGCAAAACAACAUUCAUAUAUUUUAUCAACUAGUAAGUGCGGUACAUUAUUGAAAAUUGAAAAUUGAUUUUUUAUUUAAAACAUUUAUUAAUUAUGUUGUUUUCUACAUUGCUUUCAGGUUUUCCUUUAGUUAUGUUGUUUUCUCUGUUGCUUUCAGUUUUUGUUGUUCUGCAUGCGGCAUUAAUUUGUUUUCUUCCUUUCUUCAGACUUUUGUUAUUCUGCAUAUGUCUUUCUGCUCAGUUUUUUUAAUAAUUAUCCUUGUUGGUGGUGUUUGCUUGUUUCUAUGGAGAUUUUGGGCUUAUUUGGGAUUUAUGAAGUUGGUUCAACAGAUUUGGGACUUUGUUUGUUCUUGCAAACCGCGUGAAACAUAAAACAAUAUUUGAUGUAUAGUCCAAAUUGGAAAACCAAGAAUCAAAUAUCAUUUGCAACCCAUUUCCUUUUUCUUCACUCGCUGACUGCAAUUUCUGUUUUUUCUAGCUACCAGACGAUGAAGCUCAUUAAUAGUUCGUCUACUAGUCCUAUCAUAUUCAUUCAUGUUCAUAUCUAUUUAUAAGCACGAAAGCAUUUAGGGAAAUAUCGUUUGCUUUUUUUAUCCUUAAAAUAAUAAAAUUCACCUUGGAUAAAAUAGUCUUUUUGAUUAUUUUUCUAAUAUUUAGGAAUAGUCAUUUAAUUAAUUUUUUACUAUUUAGGAAUAUUUAUUUAAUUAAUUUUUUACUCUUUAAGAAUAGUCAUUUAAUUAUGUCCUUACUAUUUAUUUAUAAUAUUAAUAUUCCAAUGGCUUUCCGCUCUAAAAUUUUAAGCGCUUUCAGUUCUAAUAAAGUUUCCUUCACUUUCAACUCAUUUGGAGGUUCUUUGUAGUAGGAAAGUUGCGUUUACUUUCUCCAUAUAUAUGUAGGAGCUAAUUUGGUUUUUAAUUAGUUAUGUAUCUAUAUCUAUAUAUCAUUAUACUAUUAUAAAUUUUUCCUAUUUUUUAUGUUAAUUCCAACAGGAUAUAAAAGAUUUUUUCAAUAAUUAUUCUUCAUAAAAAAAUAUUUAUAUAACUGUAUGGAGUAAAAUAUGUUCAUAUUUAAUGAUUGCAUGAGAAAUCGACAUGUGGAACCGAAGACAGAAGAUUGCCAAACCUGAAUGCAAUGAUCUCGCUUGUCAUCGGAGAGAAUGAUACUGAUAAAGACAAAAUAAAUACCGCCAUCCGGUAGCGUUCAAUGACGCAUAUUCUACGGCAUUAAGUACAUGAUCCGUUACAGAGAAUAUGACAUUCACUGUCCACCGUUACACAUUCUUCAAUAGCCCUAAUAAUUGUAAUUAAAGAGGAGCUUGAUCAUAAGACCUUGUUCUCUAUGUGUAACUAUAAAUAGUGAGCUCUGUUAUCAUUGUAAGGGGACGGAUUUUCUGACAAGCACAUAUUAUACUUCAUCUAAAGCUCAAAUAACAUUUCACUUUCUUGUUUAUUUGCAUUGUUCUUAUUGCUCCCGCUAGCUCUGUGCCCGGAACCAAGAUAUAUGCCGUUUAUUUUAAUUUUACGGCUAAGUCUUAUAUUUCUGUCUAAUUCAUCUAUUAUUUUUGGAUCAAAUCAAUUCAUUUGUAUAUAAACUACGUAUAAAUUCAACUGUACAAUUUUAUGGUUAAACAGUUUGGCGCCCACCGUGGGGCAUAGACAGUCGUGCAAUUGAAUUGAUCCCUGCAUCUGUUCCUAACUUGUUUGAUUCUUUGUUCUUAGCAAAAAUCAUUAAAAAUGACAGAUUAUGGUGUUAACAACACACACAACAUUGAGGCCCAAGGAAAUCAGCCUCAACACGAGGAUUCAAUCAGUGAUACCCGCAACGAGGGGAACGAGGCCACGUCGGUCCACGACAGCCGAUACCCAUGACAUGUUUGGGAGGCAUCUCCUAAUGAUGCUGAAGAAGAGCACAUCGCGAAGCAGUCAGGGUCUUGCAAAAGAAACAUGAGGCCAUUAUAGGCCAUCUCACACGAUAGGAUAAGGUCAUCACGAUACUAAAGCAGGCGUUGUCGGGCCCUUCCAAUAAUGCGAAUGCGCGAGGCCCAGUUCUUCCCGUUGCUCCCGCAAACCAAAUGACGCCGAGGGUCGACAACAACACCCCGAGGGGCGAGGUCGGCUCCGAUGGGGCCGGAGGGAACUGAUCAGGUCACAACAAUAAGAGUGAUCCCUUUAAAAUCGAACUCAUGCGAUUUAUGAGGGAAGUAAACGCCCGAAUGGAUCAAAUUCGCGGUGCAUCACCAGUGUUGAAAGGGUCGGACUGAAAGAAGUACACACAAUUGCCGUACAAACCAAGCACGGCACUGGAACUGAUCCCGAAGCAGUUUAAAAUGCCCGACGUGCCGAAGCAUGAUGGAACUUCAAAUCCUCAGGAGUAUAUCACCACCUAUACAACGGCGCUGAAGGGAAAUAAUUUAGAUCCCCAUGAGAUUGAGUCUGUUUUGCUGAAGAAAUUCGGGGAGACUCUUAUGAAGGGAGCCCUGACGUGGUAUUCGCUUUUGCCCGAGCAUUCCAUAGAUUCCUUUGAGAUGCUCGUGGACUCUUUCAUCAAGGCACAUGCCGGGCCAAAAAGGUACAAACCCGAAAGGCUGAUAUAUUCAGGAUGGCGUAAGAAGAGUCCGAGUUGUUGCGGGAGUUUGUAACCAGAUUCAGGAUGGAAAGGAUGUUGUUACCGUCCAUACCGGACGAAUGGGCAGCUAAAGCAUUCACCAAAGGUUUGAAUCCGUGAAGCUCUGAUGCUUGCCGAAAACUGAAGGAAAGUCUGCUCAAAUUCCAGGUGAAGACAUGGGCAGAUGUUCACAACCGGAAUGAAUCUAAGAUAAGAAUCGAGGAUGAUCAGCUCGGUUUCCCGGCUUCAACCAAGGGUCGUGGCCGGGAAAAGAAUAUAGAGAAGUAAAGAGACGGUUUCGACUCGGGUCGAUGGUCUUCAAGGGAUCAGUUUUUACCCUAUGAACAGGCCGAAGGAUGCGCAGAGGUUUUCAGUCGGCAGAUAGAUUCACCACCGACAAGAGAACUGACCGCGGCCGAAAUAACAGGUCGUUACAGGACAAGGAGACGUCAGGUUCUCGAGACUCUUCCUACCCCAGGCUUUCCGAGUACAACUUUAACGUUAGUGUAGUAGAGGUAGUAUUGGCUAUGAGGAACAUAAAAGAGGCACGGUUCCCGAAGCCAAUGAGACCUGAUCCCAGCCAAAGGGAUCCUAACUUGUGGUGCGAAUACCACAGGACAAAUGGUUACCGGACUGGGGACUGCCAGCAUCUGCACGAAGAGGUGGCGACAUUGCUGAAAAAUGGCCAUCUCACGGAAUUCUUAAGUAACCGGGCUAAAAAUACCUAUGGUCGCAAUCAUGAUAACGCGGAGCCUUCGAAGGCAGGAGAAGUGUGAGGCCCCGUAAACUCUCGGCAGCUCGUCGUGGCAUAGACUUUUUGGGUUGAAGAAUGCAUUGAGAAGUUGGUAGAAAUUUUUGGCAGAAGAAGGAAAUUAUGCGGUUAGUUUCGCGGCCACAGAUCCAUUAUGUGGGCCGCAUACCCAUCGCAGAGUUGAGCAGAAAAAUUGUUGAAUUUUGAAGAUCAUUGUGCGUUCCAUUAUGCGUCCGCAUAAUCAUUUCGCGGUCCGCACUUCCGUCACAGAGUUAGCAUGAAGAAUUUCGUAGGGGGAUUCUGUGGUCCAUUUCGCGAUCAUAGAACUGGCCUGCGGACCGCAGACCUAUCGUAAACCUAUCCAGACUAGCCCAGCUUUUGGCAUCACUUUCGCGGUCCAUUUUGCGGGCCGCAUAUUUGUUCUGCGAUCGCAGAGUUGAGUUCGGAGGGUCCAUUUUCUAUUUUUAUAACCCGAUCCCAUUUUGAUUAAAAGCCUUUGGGGCUCAUUUUGGAGUAUACAUAUGACGCUUUUAGAGAGAAGUGUGAGUAUUUUAGAGAGAGAAGGAGAAGACCUAGCCAUUCAAAUCUUCUAUUCUUGUCCCAAUCUUCAAGAAUCAUGAAAGCCACUCACUAGACCAUCAUCUAUCCAGGUAAGUUCUUGUCCUACAUCAUCCAUGCAAGUUUGUUUAGGGUCUAAGUAGAUUGUGGAGUUGGAGAUUGGCCAUGCAUGUGACAUUAGGUGGUAGUAUGUGGGAUUGUUGAACUAUUUGGGGUAGUUUCUUGUUGAAAUUGGUUGAGGGAGGAAGGGAUUAUCAUUGUAGAGCUUUGUAGUCAAUUUUGCAUAAUAGGUGUUUGACAAAAAUCCUAAGAGAGUUACACCAUGAGAAUCCUUCUAAUUAAUAUCCGUUUUUCGCUAUCUUUCUAUAGAUUGAUAUUGCUAGGAGUGUUGGGAUGUUGUAGUAACCUAAGGAAAGCUCAAGAAAGGUAUGUUGGCUAAACUUCUCUCUUAGAAUCAAAUUCUAUAAUAUUCCCGUAAGUUUCAAGUAUGGUUGGCCCAGGUUCCUAAUUCUCAUGUUUCGAGUUGUUCCUAAUCAAAUCGAUUAUCCCAAGUAAGUGUUGUGUUGAAAGAUGCAUAUACUCAAAACGGGUUCCAAUUGUUCCUAUCAUAUUAUGAACUUUUCGAAAAUGUGUUCAAGUAUGGUUUAUGUAUUGAAAUGUUAUGACUUCAAUUAGUGUUUCAAAUGAAAGUCUUUUAUGCUUGACCUGGAAAGAAAACCCAACGUGCUUAAGACUCAUAUUGGUCAUAUACAUAUUUGAGGUUUUGAUUCCAAAUGCCCUUAAUUGUUGGUAACCUAUGAUGAUGUUUGUAAGUGAAAGAAGUAAGAGUGAGAUGUAAAACGUGGCCAUGGUUGUUGUAACUAGUGCAUUUGAUUUGUAUUUGUGUUUCAAUCGUAAAUCACCAUGCUCUCCUUUAUAAAUAUCUCCAAUGUGAUUUGAGUUUUUACAUACUCAUGAGUUGAAAUUGUGUAUUUUCCUUUUGGGAAAAAUAAUUUCAAGAAUAAGUGAUGUGUCACUCAUUUAUGAUUUUAACUCGUGCUUCAAUUGCUAGUCAUUUUGCCCCAUUCUUUGGGAAGGAAUCUAUUGUGUUUAAAGCCUUCAUUACUAAUGAACUAAAAAAUGUGAUUUCCGAAAUAUUUUAUAUGUUGAUGUAUAUGAUGAUGGUCUUUGAAAGUAAAAAAUUGAAAGUGUGGAAUAUGAAAUACGGCCAACGUGCCAUGAAUAAAGAAUCAUACGUAUGGCCAAGAGAGCCAAGGAAAUAAUGAUGUUGCGAAUGGUUGAGAGUACUAAUAAAGCUAUAUAUAUGGUGUGAAAAGCUAUGAGGUGAAUGUAUUUAUACUUCUAUUUCCCUUGUGUGCAAAACAAAAAUUAUUUUUGGGAGUAUCAUUAGCGAACCGAGAAAGGGUGGGUCGAAACGACCUACACCCGAAACUAUACGUGCCGCUGUAGGAGUGGAUUGUGAUUAUUCCCCUUAUUUGGCAUGAGAUUGAAAUAUUGAUUUGAUGAGAUUAUUCCCCUUAAUUUGGAUAAGAUUGAUGAUAGCUGUGAAUUGGAAACGAUGAAGUUAAUCCACACGGCAUAUGUGGGAAGGCGGCCUAGUCGAUCGGGUGGAGAUCGGACGCCAUGUCACGCGCAUGGUGGUUCCUACUCUUGGUAACACAUUUCUUUCGCAUCACAUGUCAAUCCACAUUGUUCGUGGAGACAUGGCCUAGCCGAUCGGGCGUGAUCGGACUCCGUGCUAAAGAUACGGUGGUAUAUCGGUGCUAAUGACCUCCCAACCAAAAAUUAUACUCCCUCCGUUCCAGUUUAUGUGAACCUAUUUUCUUUUUGGUCCAUUCCAAAAUGAAUGACCCCUUUCUAAAUUUGGAAAUAAUUUAGCUUAAACUUCCAAUUCUGCCCUUGAUGAGAAGCUUUUAUAACCACACAAAUACUAUGGACCCCUUUCUGACAUGUUUAGGACCAUAAAUUCUAAAAGUCUUUAUUUUUUCUUAAAGUCCGUGCCUAGUCAAACAGGUUCACAUAAAUUAGAACAGAGGGAGUAAUAUUUUUGUAUUUUGAAAAUUAUUAUGUUUUAACUUGGCAUUUGGAUAUAAUUGAUUGUUACUUGUUGCUUCCAUGGUUUUUCCCUUCUUAUAUUGGCAUUCUAUUUCUAAAGAUGAUAUUUAGCUUCGCAUACUAGUACUAUUCCACAUGUACUAAUGUCCUAUUUGUUGGGGGCGCUGCAUCUUCAAUGGAUGUAGGUGGUUCGUCAGCGGACAGCUUUGAUCCUCGUUAGCAGUUACUCUUUAUUCAGCAGUGUUGGUGAGCCCUACUUUGUUCCGGGCCUUAUGUCACCUGACAUUGUUUCUUGUGUUUUGAGGUAUAGCCGGGGCCUUGUCGCCGGCACUUCCAUACUAAUCUUCUGUUGUACUUAGAGGCUCCGUAGACAUGUUGUGGGUGGAGUCCAAUGUUGGGUAAUGAAAUAGAAGUGUUGGAAUUUGGCAAACACGUUUAUCCUUGUAUCUAUAAACUUGUAAUAUUUUGGAAAUCAUAAAUGAAUAUCCUUUGAGUAAUAGAAAAAGAAUGUAGAACACUUGAAUCUUCUCAUGUCUAUCACUUGUACUGAUUCUUAUAUUGUUAAUGGGCAAAGUUGGGUAGAAGGCAUCUACGAGGCUUGCUUAAUCAAGGUAACUCGGUUAAGCGUAGGUCGUGCUCCCCGGGGUCGGGGAGUGACAAGAAGAUCCCCUGCGCCUGACGAUCAACAUGAUUUUCGGUGGCAAGAGACUCCGGGAAGUCGUUGAAGACGACAUUACUUUUAUGGAGGAAGACACGGAUGGACUGCUGCUUCCAUAUAACAACGCCCUAGUAAUCUCUCUAAAUGUCUUAGAUUUUAAAAUUAAACGUGUUCUGGUCGAUCCAGGAAGUUCGGCCAAAAUCAUACAAUGGAGGGUGUUGGAGCAAGCCAAACUCACCGGAAGCAUCAUUUCGUCCACAAAGCUCCUUGCCGGGUUCAACCUAGCAAGUGUGACAACUAGAUGAGAGAUCCUGCUGGCCACGAAUGCUGAUGGGGUGAUGAAAAUGACCCUUUUCGAGGUAGUGGACAGAGAUAUGGGCUAUAAUAUUAUCCUGGGUAGACCGUGGUUGCACGAGAUGAAGACUGUACCAUUAGCAUAUCAUCAGUUGCUGAAAUUCCCAACUCCUGAGGGAGUUAAACAAAUAAGAGGUGACCAACCGGCAGCAAGGGAGAUGAAUGCAAUCUCGGUCUCCAGUAGAAAAGAAAAAGAGCAUGUGUCAAAGCAAUUACAGUAACCAGUGCCUUGUCCCGAGCCGAGCGAAGUCAACCAGGGGGAAGAGUCACCGGAAUCCUAUCAGGUACCAAGGUAUUUUCAGGUACCAGAAGAGACGGACGCAACAAAAUCUACAGCUGAGGAACUUGAACAAGUCGCAUUGUUCGAAAUGUUCUUAGAAAGGAAGUUCCACUUAGGGACAGGAAUGCACCCCGAGCUCAGGUCUGGUUUUAUUGAAUUUCUUAAAUUUAAUGUCGGUUGUUUUGCGUAGUCGCAUGCGGAUAUGACAGGUAUCCCGCCGGAAGUGGCCGGACACAAGUUAAGCUUGGAUCCCAGUAUUCCUCAAGUAAGAUAGAAAAAAUGCCCUAUUUCUGAGGCCAAAAAUAAAUUCGUCAAAGAAGAGGUAACUCGCCUGCUUGAUAUCGGUUCAAUCCGAGAGGUAAAGUAUCCCAAAUAGCUAGCUAACAUAGUAAUAGUUCCAAAGAAGAAUAAUAAAUUCCGCAUGUGUGUAGACUAUAAGGACUUAAAUAAGGCGUGCCCAAAAGAUUCGUUCGCAUUGAUCAAAUUAUUAAUGCAACGACCGGGCACGAGUUAAUGAGUUUUCUCGAUGCUUACUCCGGGUAUAAGCAAAUCAAAAUAGACCCGGAGGAUUAGGAAAAAACUUUGUUGAUCACGAAUUUCAGCACACAUUGUUACAAUGUGAUGCCCUUCGGGCUAAAGAACGUUAGAGCCACUUAUCAACGGCUCGUGAACAAGAUGUUUGAAAAACAAAUAGGGAAAACUAUGGAAGUUUACAUAGAUGAUAUGUUUGUUAAGUCUUUGAACGGAAGUGAUCAUCUUAAACACUUGAAAGAGACUUGUGUUUGGGGUCAGCUCCUGUAAGUUCCAGGGAUUCCUGGUGUCACAAAGGGGGAUCGAGGUGAAUCCCGAUAAAAUUAAAGCCAUCAGAGACAUCCCGAACCAGUUGUCGAGCAUGAAGGAGGUCCAAAGGUUGACAGGGAGACUGGCCGCUUUGAGCAGAUUCAUUUCACAGUCUUCAAAGAAAUGUCAUCACUUCUUCUCACUGCUCAAAAAGAGGAACAACUUCGAAUGGACCCCAGAGUGCCAGCAGGCUUUGAGGGCUCUGAAAAGGUAUUUGUCAAGUCCUCCGUUAUUUUCAAAACCGGAGGAAGGCGAACAACUACCGAUAUACAUAGCGGUCUCGGAGGUUGCGAUAAGUGCUGUUUUAGUUCAUGAGAAUGAAAGUACGCAAUAUCCUAUUUACUACAUUAGUAAAAUUUUAAUGAGAGCAGAAACUCGCUACCCACAUCUGGAAAAAUUAGCCUUUGCCCUCGUAGUAGCCGCUCGAAAGCUAAGACCUUAUUUUCAAUGUCACCCGAUAGUUGUAGUGACCACUUUUCCCCUGCGGAAUAUUCUUCAUUAACCCAAACUCUCAGAUAGGCUGGCCAAAUGGGUCAUCGAAAUGAGUGAGUUUGACAUAGAAUACAAACCCAGGACUGCAAUUAAGUCACAGGUUUUGGCUGACUUUGUCACCGAUUAUAGUCCAGGACUUCUACCUUUGGCUACCAAAGAAGCAGUAAUGGUGUCAGAAUCGACAUCAGGAGUAUAGACCUUGUUCACUGACGAAGCUUCCAAUGUGAAAGGGACCUGUCUCGGCAUAGUAUUAAUCAUACUCUCGGGAGAAACCUUGAGGCAGGCCAUACGAACCGUUCCUUUAACUAACAAUUAAGCGUAGUAUGAAGCUUUGAUUACAAAACUCGAGCUGGCCCGGGGACUGGAUUCCGAGAUCAUCAAAAUCAAGUGUGAUUCUCAAUUGGUAGUAAAUCAGGUCUACGGGAUCUACAAAGCUAAAGAAGAACUCAUGCAACAAUACAUAAUGAAGGUUCAGGCUCUGCUCGCCCGGUUCUGGCAGUGGUCAAUUACACACAUCCCAAGGGAAGAGAAUGCAGAAGCAGAUGCACUACCCAACCUUGGUUUGUCUAAGGAAAUGAAAGGAUCAGACUUCAGUACGGUCAUGCAGCUUAUGCACUCGGUGCUGGACGCAUAUAGUUAUUAUGAGGUAAACGCGACCAAUCUAAGUUGGGACUGGGGAAACGAGAUUAUUGACUAUCUCGAGUGCGGAAAAUUGCCUGAAGAUCCCAAGGCAUCUCGAGCACUGCACACUAAAGUGGCUCGAUACAACUUCAAGGGAGGUCAAUUGUACAGAAGAUCUUUCCAAGGCCCGUUGGCCCAAUGUUUGGGAGCCUCCGAAGCUAAUUAUGUUAUGUGAGAAUUCCACGAAAGGAUUUUCAGAAAUCAUUCAGGCACAGAUUCCUUAGUACUAAAAUUAAUAAGGGCAGGAUAUUAUUGGCCCCGGAUAGAACAAGAAGCCAAAGCUUAUGUUCAAAAUGAGAUAAAUGUCAACAUUACGCAGCGUUGGUACAUCAACCAACAGAGCCAUUGCACUCAGUUCUGUCACCAUGGCCGUUCAUGAAGUGGGGAAUGGAUAUCGUCGGACCGCUACCACCGGCCCCUGGUAAGGUAAGAUUUCUUUUGAUUUUAACUGACUAUUUUUCUAAGUGGGUUGAAGCAGUUCCUUAUCAGAAGAUAGGCGAAUGUGAGGUUCUAGAUUUCUUGUGGGAGAACAUUAUUUGUAGAUUUGGGAUACCAAAAGAAUUAGCUUGCGACAACGGGCCAUAAUUUAUAGGCGCAAAAGUCACAAAGUUCCUUGAAGACUUGAAAAUCAAGAGGAUCACAUCAUCACCCUAUCAUACAAGCGCAAAAGGCCAAGUAGAAUCAACGAACAAAGUGAUUAUACAAAGUCUUAAAAGAGAUUGGAAACAGCUAAAGGUAAAUGGCCUGAAGAUUUGUUAGGUGUACUAUGGGCGUACCGAACAACGGCCAAGUCAAGUAUGGGGAAGACUCAUUUCUCUCUUUUAUACGUAGCAGAAGCGCUGAUCCCGAUAGAAGUAGGUGAACCUACCAUGAUAUAUUUUCGGUCAAACGAAGAAGCAAAUAGUGAAGUAAUGUUUGUUAAUUUGGAGCUGCUCGAUGAACAUAGACACUUGGCAUUUAUAACGAUGGCAUCUCAAAAACAAUGAAUAGAGAGAUAUUAUAAUCGAAGAGACAACCUCCGUUAUUUCAAAAUAUGAGACUUGGUUUUAAGGAAAGUAACCCAGAACACCUGGGAACUUAAUACAGGAAAGCUAGGUCCAACAUGGGAAGGCCCCUACUGGGUUUCAGCUGUCACCGGGAAAGGGUCAUACGAGUUAGAGAAUCAAGAUGGAGAAAAGUUGCCAAGUAACUGGAACACGGCACACCUCAAGAGAUACUAUUACUGAUGAACAUCACCUGUACUGAAAGUAUGUGCUACAUUCUUUUUUCCUUCAUCCGGUUUUUGUCCCAAUUGGGUUUUUCUGACAAAGUUUUUAACGAGACAACAAUGGAAAGCAUACUACGAAGGAAGUUUCAACAACAGCAAUAAGACCUUUUAAUUACAAGUCACACAAGCAAAGAACCACUACGGAGCGAUUAGAUAGUCUUUUGCUCGAUAGCAAAGUUCCUACCGGGAAGUUGAGUUUGCUAUCAAACAGAGAUUUCCCGCCCAUUCACAAGUGCAAGCCACUGGGGGAUUGUUAAAUAAUCUUUGUCUCGGUAGCAUAAAUUCCUAAGGGGAAGUGAAGUUUGUUACCGAACUGAAGACUAUCUAGCAAUUCACUAGCUAGUGGAAUCCUCGAAGGUGUAAAACUCCUAGUGUUCUAAUUCGCAUUCUUCGCAUUCGAACACUGGGGGGGAUGAUAUGAGGAUAUGGAAACAAUGACUGCCACGUUACCCAGAAUAUAAAAACAGGAAAUAUAAUUGUAUCAUCGGGACCGGGGACUAUGCAGCCAGCCCCGAAAACAAGUUGUACAAGUUAGCCACAAGAAAUGGUAAUUUCUUUCUUUUUAGCACAACGAAUGCUAUGUACUUUUGAAAAUAGAUGGAAUAAAGUAAAGUCCUUUUAUUUUUAUCUUGUUUCUUGUCUGAAUGAUGAAUUAAUUUUAUCAUUUAAAAGUUAAACAAGUACUUCAAAUGCUAGUACCGUAAUGAACAGGAGACGUCCUCUUCAAAAGCAUUGUAAACAAAAGAGGGCCCUAUCUUAUGAAAACCCUCAUGAUAAAUGGUUGAUUUCGAAAAAACAUAUGCCCAAAAUCCAAACGCUUUCAUGGGAAAAUACACCCAAAGCCUUGCAUAACUAGACGCAAGUAGUAAAGCCUGCGCAAAUACUUAAACGAAAAAAGACACAAAGAGCAAAUUUGCGCAAAUAUUUAAACGAAAGUACGCAGAAACGGAAACUUAUAUGAUACUUGAACGAAAAAGUUUUUUUAGUCACAAUAAAUGUGCCAAACAGCACAGGUACAAAAAUUCAAAAAAGAAGGCAAAAAACUAAGCCACUACAUCUCCGGAACCCGGAGGGAGAGAAGCAUCUACACACCCAGGAGAAGCAAGUCCAUCCGUUGUUGGUCCGAUAUUUUGGCCUUCAUCAUUUUGGCCUUCAGCAUCAUCACCUUUCGGUUCCUCUUUAGUUUCCGACAACUCAGAAUCGGUAGCAUCAGGUCGGGCCGAAAGACCCCUUUUUGCAGUUAACUCCAGCUCACGAGCCUUAGCGAUUUUGGCAUCAAAGUCAAUGAUACCCGCUUUGGCCUCUUCCGAGGUUUUUCUCCUCAUACUGUAUAUAGCAUAUAUUUUUUCAACAAGGAGGGAAGCCGCUCGGCACUGAAGUUCUCCUUUAAGCUGGCUGACCUCAGCAGAGAGGUUGUCUCGCGCGAAUCUCAUAGAUCGAAGGCUAGCUUCAAAAUCACGGACAGUGGAGCUGUAAAUUUUAUUAUGCUUUAAGGUUUUCUUAUGUUUCUCCUUCAAUUGGGCAUACUUCGCCUCAGCAACAAUAACUUCUUCAACCUUGGAAUUUAAGGCCACCUCAAAAUUAUUCAAUUUUUCACUGGAGGCUACCUCACGAUCGGAUGCAGCAAGAAUGACAUUAUGAACUUCAACACAUUUGGCCUUAGCCUCUUCAAAUUAUGCUUAUGAAGUGUAAAUGAAGAAGUUUGAUAUGUAUAAGCAAAGAAAUAGGCGGCUAAAAUCGUGACCAUAAUUACCUCGAUAAUCGGCAAAAGUAAUGCUGAAUCGUGGGAUGACGCGUGUUCGGGGCAUUAAAGACGGAGAGACGUGCGUCUAAUCAACCGUCAAUAACUUUUCAGAGUGCAUCAUAAAAUUUUUCGCCAAGAAAGGUAUCUCUACCAACAUCCCGGUGACACAAAAGCUAUGCCACCGGAAAGCGGGGGAACUAUUUGUAUGGGGUAAAAUAUAUUCAUAUUUAAUGAUUGCAUGAAAAAGCGACAUGUGGAACCAAAGACAGAAGAUUGACAAACCCGAAGGCAAUGAUUUCGCUUGUCAUCAGAUAGAAUGAUACUGAUAAAGAGAAAAUAAAUGAGGCUAUCUGGUAGCAUUCAAUGACGAAUAUUCUACAACAUUAAAUGUAUGAUCCGUUACAGAGAACAUGGCAUUCACUGCCCACCGUUACACAUUCUUCAAUGGCUCUCAUAAUUGUCAUUAAAGGGGAGCUUGAUCCUAGGACCUUGUUCCCUAGGUAUAACUAUAAAUAGUGAGCUCUAUCAUCAUUGUAAGGGGACGGAUUUUCUCGCAAGCAUAUACUACAUCUAAAACUCAAAUAACAAUUCACUUUCUUGCUUAUUUGCACUGUUCUUAUUGCUCCCGGUAACUCUGCGGCCGGAACCAAGAUAUCUGCCGUUUAUUUCAAUUUCAAGGCUAAGUCUUAUAUUCCUGUCUGAUUCAUCUAUUAUUUUUGGAUCAAAUCAAUUCGCUUGUCUACAAACCACGUAUAAAUUCAAUUGUACCAUUUUACGGGUAAACAAUAAUUUUUUUGAAAUGAACAAAAUAUAUAAAAUACUUAGAGAUCAAACAAUUAAUAUAACGAAAUAAUAGGAUUUUUAAAAAAUUAUAAUAACUGCAAUUUUAUUUAACAUGAAAGAUAUUAUAGUUGUAUUACGUAAUUCAAAUAAGAUGAGAAUUUAUAUUAGAUAAACUUUUAAUUGAUUUUAAAGCUCUAAAUAUUAGGAGUCCUAUAUGGUUCAGAUUAGGAAUUAUUUAAUAAGGAUUGUUUUAAUUUUCAAGUCGUAAAAACUAAACAUAUACCUAAAUGCUAAUUUUAUAGUGAAAUUUCUUUUUUAAAAAUAAAAUAGUUGAUCAAUAUUUCAUGUGUGGGCUUAGUGCUUUUAUAAUAGUAUAAAUAGAUUAUAGAUUUAUAAUCGGCUAUAGAACUGAGACGCAUUAAUUUUAUAUAAUUAAUUAUCUUAUUAGAAUAAAAAACACACAUAGAGAAAGUUUUGUGAAAAAUGAUAUUUGAUUAUCUGAAUAUAUAAUAAUAUGUCCAUUACUCUUUAAUCAAACACUCCUUCUACAAAGUUUAUGUAUCAAAAUGUAAUUAAACAUGCUAAUAAAUACUAUAAUUAGAAUAAAUUAUUUUAAUAUCCACAAUUAUUAUACUCUUUAUUUCAACAUUAAAUUUUAGGAAUAAGUUUGAAAUGAUACUAAACAAUUAUACACUAAAUAUAUGCAGCUCAAUAAUAUUUAUAGAAUACUUUAAAGUUUUAUACUUAUUGAGAUGGGGUACAUGCGCAAAGCGCGUAUCCUGAGACUAGUUAUACUAAAAGUAGGAAGGUCCUAUCUUCAAAGUUAGUUUACGAUAAUACCCUUUAAAAUUUGAUACCAUUUUGUCCUUGGAAAAAAACCCUUCAAUUAAAUAAAUUUUUUUCAGUUAGAUAAUUCUUAUUUUAUUAGAUUAAAAAUGAAUCGGUAAAUUAGAAGCGAAGCAGUAACACUUUAAUGCUUCAGACUCACUGCAAUGAAUCCAGUGAGAGUUGAGGGCAUUUGAUUCUCUUCAUUUAUUUUCCAAGACGUUUCUCAUAAUUUAUCAUGGGAACCAUUCACAUUUUUUUUCCUUCAAAUUUUGCCAUUUAUAUGCUAUACUAUUUGGAAAUUCAAAAGUCGAUUCUUGAAUUCUCUUAUUUGCACCUCCUCUUUUCACUUUUCUUUCUUGAAUUUCUUCCAUCACUUUUCUAACAAUGAUAACGGUUCAACUUUACAUUAUCUUCUCUUCUCUUAUCCUUUGUCUGAAAUAUCUUUUCCAACAAUCAUUAGUCUUUAAAUUUCGUUCAGGUAGGUUUGUCAAUUACUUUAUGUUUGUUCACUUGGGCUCUUUUCAUCUUUUGCCAGUUUUGACUCACAUUUCUAGCGUUUGAUGUAUUCUUUGUUGUUACUAUGUAAUUUGUGUUGUUGGAAUUGUUAUUUUUUAUUGUCUACCAUAAAUGUAUCAUUGUUAUUUUAUAUACAGCACUAGAUCAAGAAAUUUUUUAAAUCCUUUCCAUAUCUUAUAUCAUCAUUACGGUCGAAAUUCUAUCUUAAAAUUCCUUCCAUUCUGUUAUGAAGAUAAAAAAGGAAAAAACUCAAGCAGAUAAGAGGAAGAGUAGAUGAAUGAUGUUGGAGAGAAAUGAAUACAGUAAUAAUCAGGGUAGGCUUUAAUGUUAUUCCAAGUAAGGCUUAUGCCUUAGGGGUCCAUUGUUUAAAAUAAUAGGUUUAUAGGUAUUUUAAAAAAAUGACAUUUAGUACUUCUUAUACAAAAAUAGAGUUUUUCUAUAGCUGUUGGUUCAAAGAAAAAAAAAA